GACGAGGGGUCCAAGCGUUGUUCGGAAUUAUUGGGCGUAAAGCGGGUGUAGGUGGCUCUAUAAGUCAGGAGUGAAAUCCCCAAGCUUAACUUGGGAAGUGCUUUUGGUACUGCAGAGCUUGAAUGUGGGAGAGGAUAAUAGAAUUCCAGGUGUAGUGGUGAAAUACGUAGAUAUCUGGAGGAAUACCGGUGGCGAAGGCGGUUAUCUGGCCCAACAUUGACACUGAGACCCGAAAGCGUGGGGAUCAAACAGG
rnacentral:rRNA from 1 species